rnacentral:rRNA from 1 species
UACGAAGGGGCUAGCGUUGCUCGGAAUCACUGGGCGUAAAGGGCGCGUAGGCGGCCAUUCAAGUCGGAGGUGAAAGCCCAGGGCUCAACCCUGGAAUUGCCUUCGAUACUGUUUGGCUAGAGACCGGAAGAGGUAAGUGGAACUGCGAGUGUAGAGGUGAAAUUCGUAGAUAUUCGCAAGAACACCAGUGGCGAAGGCGGCUUACUGGUCCGGUUCUGACGCUGAGGCGCGAAAGCGUGGGGAGCAAACAGG